UUUCACCUACCGAAUACUUUCAAACUCCUAAGGCCUUCAUCUUAUACUUGGGAGUCAGACUGUGGGUGUGAAGAUUCAUAGUCGAAAGGGCAACAGCCCAGAUCGUCAGCUAAGGUCCCUAAAUGUAAGUUAAGUGGUAAAGGAUGUGGGAUUGCACAGACAACCAGGAUGUUGGCUUAGAAGCAGCCACUCAUUCAAAGAGUGCGUAAUAGCUCACUGGUCGAGUGAUCCUGCGCCGAAGAUUUCCGGGGCUAAAACUUACUACCGAAGCUACGGCAUCAGUAAUGAUGGGUAGGGGAGCUUCCCAUACGGGUUGAAGCAUGACCGUAAGGACAUGUGGACAGUAUGGGAGUGAGAAUGUUGGCAUGAGUAGCGAGAUGUGGGUGGGAAUCCCACAGGCCGUAAACCCAAGGUUUCCAGGGGAAGGUUCGUCCACCCUGGGUUAGUCGGGACCUAAGCUGAGGCCGAAAGGCGUAGGUGAUGGACAACAGGUUGAUAUUCCUGUACUACCGAUAACCGUUUGAGAGAAGGGAUGACACAGUAGGAUAAGCUAAGCACACUGUUGGUUAUGUGUGCCCAAGCAUUGAGGCAGUCAAAGUAGGCAAAUCCGCUUUGAUAAUGCUGGGAUGUGAUGGGGAGCGAAAUUUAGUAGCGAAGUAGCUGAUUUCACACUGUCAAGAAAAGUCUCUAUCGAGGUUAAAGGUACCCGUACCGCAAACCGACACAGGUGGGUGAGGAGAGUAUCCUAAGGCCAGCGAGAGAACUGUUGUUAAGGAACUCGGCAAAAUGACCCCGUAACUUAGGGAUAAGGGGUGCCACCAUCAGGUGGCCGCAGAGAAUAGGCCCAAGCGACUGUUUACCAAAAACAUAGGUUUCUGCUAAGUCGCAAGACGAUGUAUAGGAGCUGACGCCUGCCCGGUGCUGGAAGGUUAAGGGGAUCUGUUAGAGCAAUCGAAGCAGUGAACUUAAGCCCCAGUAAACGGCGGCCGUAACUAUAACGGUCCUAAGGUAGCGAAAUUCCUUGUCGGGUAAGUUCCGACCCGCACGAAAGGCGUAACGAUUUGGGCACUGUCUCAACAACAGACUCGGUGAAAUUGUAAUUCCGGUGAAGAUGCCGGAUACCUGCGACAGGACGGAAAGACCCCAUGGAGCUUUACUGUAGCUUGACAUUGGGUC
rnacentral:rRNA from 1 species